GACGACCGCUGGCGGCGUGCUUAACACAUGCAAGUAGAACGAGUGGCGAACUGGUGAGUACCACGUGGGUGAUUUGCCUUACCCCUCGUGCUAAGCUUGUGACACUGGGUCUAAUUCCGGAUAGUGCAAGAUUAGCUCGCGGCCUAUCAGCUUGGUGGUGUGGUAAUGGCUACCAAGGCGCGACGGGUGGCGGGCCUGAGAGGGUGUACGGCCACAUUGGGAAUGGGAUCCGGCCCAGACGGCUACGGGAGGCAGCAGGGGGGAAGAGUGCACAAUGGGCGGAAGCCUGAUGCAGCGAGGCCGCGUGGGGGAUGAAGGCUGUCGGGUUGGAAACUCCUGUCGACAGGGAAGCGGUACCGGUAUAAGAAGCACCGGCUAACUACGGGCCAGCAGCCGCGGUAAUUC
rnacentral:rRNA from 1 species